GCCUGAACUGUUGAAGAUGGCGUCUUCACCGUGUGGUUGGCUGCAGAGGCUCUCUUCGAUGCCACACGGACGGCGUCGCGAGAUGGUUCCAAUUUCCAGAGCCAUUCCCCAAUUUUCGAGUCCGAUGAGAGACAACACAUGCGAGCGACGACUGUGUCUCACUAAAGUGAGUGAGGAGGCAUGGGUCUUGUGGCCCUUGUUCUAGAAUGUCAGAGAUGUCAUAAAGAAGAGACAAAUUCCAGAGGGAUUGUGAAUGGGACGAUUGAAGAGCCGCUAUGAUUGACAGGCCUUCCUCUCCCUGCGUGCCCUGGGGCUGAUUGACAAUGCGCUUCAUCUCACAUUUUGGGACCGAGCUAAUCCAGUAAAUUCCUACCAGACGCUUGAGCAUCUCAGUGGAGGCAGCUCUG